GCCAGGGUGACUUUUGGUCUGUUACUUCCUGGCACUGAUGCAGGUUAACUCCUCUUCUGCCUGAGCCAUGAAAUCCACAAAGAUAGUAGUCUGGAUUCUGGAUACAGCAUCCUGCAGUCAGUGAUGCAUGUCUGCAUGACCUUCAAGGACAGUGACUACACAGUCUGAAAUGAAAGAUGAAUGGGAGGAAACUCAUAUGUGUAGAGGGAGUCACCUCAGGCCGCCUACAGAUAAUGUGACAAGCCCAGAGAUUCGUGACAAGGGGAACCACGUGAAGGCGCCUUGCCAGCACAGCAACUGCAGCUGCUGCUGAAGAUUGUCCCUUACACAGUCCUCUCUGAUAGCCACUAAGCCCAGACAGCCGUCCAGCCUACAGCCCGCUUCCAGGCAUCUGCCUUCCCUUCCCCAGAGGAGCCUACCCAGGCAGCCCCAGCUUUAGUAAGAUUAAAUUUGACUCUGUAUUCCAAGUGGCCCACACCAACCAAAUCCACAUUGCCAUGCUAAAUAUUUAUCUCCUGAUCAAAUAAAUUAACUAUCAUACUUGCUCAAA